UACAGAGGGUGCGAGCGUUGUCCGGAAUCACUGGGCGUAAAGGGCGCGUAGGUGGCUUGUUAAGCGUGUGGUGAAAGCUCGGGGCUCAACCCCGAGUCUGCCGUGCGGACUGACAGGCUUGAGCACAGUAGAGGCGAGUGGAAUUCCGGGUGUAGCGGUGGAAUGCGUAGAUAUCUGGAAGAACACCGGUGGCGAAGGCGGCUCGCUGGGCUGAUGCUGACACUGAGGCGCGACAGCGUGGGGAGCAAACAGG
rnacentral:rRNA from 1 species